UUUUUUUUGUUUUAAAAGUGUUAUCUUAAUAUCAAUAGUAUAAUAUUACUCGUGUCUUUGAUUAAUAUUAGACCUAUCUCGUAUUCCUGUGUUCAUCGAAUACCUGAAAAGCCCAACCUGACAAUCAAAUAAGGGUUGUACCUGCUUAAACUUCUGAUCGAAUAACAAAAAUAAAAAUCACAAAAAUACAUUUCAACAGAUGAUUUUGGUUCGAGGCGAAAUGGAAAAAACAAAUAAGGAGAUAUUAAAACCAAUAAAAGCCUAGAAACAAACACAUCGUUCAAACUCAAAGAUUAUUAAUGGCAUUUAUUCAGUAAAUUCUUGAAAACGAUUAAAAAUUGUACAAUUAAUCUACAAGCUACUUAGAAAACGGGGAUUAAUGCUGAUCAUGAUCAACGUCAAAUCACAAAUAAAUUGAAUGAUGUGAAAAUCGGUGAUAUAAAGGACGACGACUACAAGAGUGAUUUGAGUCUGACGAGAUCAAACAAACCUAUUACUGCUAGAUCUAUGGAUCCAAAUUGAAUUUUAAUAAUUAUUGAAAUCUUAUUAGCAUAAUGUGGAAACUAAACACGAAAUCAACCAAAUAAAAUUUAAAAAAAUAAGAUUGCAUGCAUUCAUUGAUACAAUAAUUUGGUAAAUUCUGUUCAGCAUAUUUACUAUUUACUAAUAUUUAUAUUAAAUUAUAAUAUCAUAGAUAAAAACGCGGAGAGUAGUACUAAUCGACUAAUAAAAACGUAAAAAAGUAAAUAUUCAACAUGUGUAUAGGUAUAGUAUUAGGUAUGUAUAUGAUGAUUGAUGACAGUUAAAAGCUGUAUGAUAUUUUUGGUGAAUCUAAAAUUUGUUGAAAUAAUUUUAUCAUGUCGGUAAUAUUUAAUUUCAAUAAUACUAUCAUACCUUAUGUAUGAAGGAUGUAUUUAUUUAAUUUUUUUUACAUUAAAAUUAUUUUUAUUAAGCUGUUAUUGUAUAAAAACCUGUGAUACAUUUUUUUUCUAAAUGUAGCGCAUAAACGAACACCUACCACGUUUAAAAGUCACGGAAACAUAGAAAUAGGUCUUCUGUGAA